rnacentral:rRNA from 1 species
CGUGCAGGCGGUGGCGUAAGUCGUGCGUGAAAGCUCCCAGGCUCAACCGGGAGAGGACGUGCGAAACUGGGUCACUGGAGACAGAUAGAGGCAGGUAGAAUUCCGGGUGUAGUGGUGAAAUGCGUAGAGAUCCGGAGGAAUACCGGUGGCGAAGGCGACCUGCCAGGUCUGUUCUGACGCUCAGACGCGAAAGCAUGGGUAGCGAACG